ensembl:lncRNA
AGUCAAGGGCCAGCUCGCUGCGGCAGUUAUCAGAGCGAUUGUCGUCCUGUCCAAGGCUCCAGCAGUGCCUUCAGGCAUCUGGCCGUGUCGUACCCGUGUCUUCACAAAUACCCUUCUACAGCACCAGAUGUUUCUACACACGUCGCCGUCCAAUCGGAACACAAGUUUUCCCUCCCUGAAUCGAGUCCACCAGGUGGCAUUGCCAGAUAUUUGAGCGCGCUCCACAUGUUACUCGCAGAAUGCAGGAAGAACCAGGUGUUGAGAUCUCAGCAGGUGUGAGGACAAAGCCACCUGAUGCAAAGAGAUUAAAGCAUCUUUUUAGCGGCGCAGAGCGGAGCAACAUUGCACUUCCUCAUACAUCAUGUGUGUCAACACUCAAAUCUACUGCAUUGAAAAUUGCCCCACAAAUCAGCAAGCAAUAAAGGAAACAGAGCGUUGAAAAAACACAUUUUUACAAUUACGUGCAGCUGUUUGUGGAUCUGUGUAUUGAGCAUAAAACAAUUUAAGUUUGAAUGUCUAAUAGAGAAAAGAAAAAGCAAAUCUACAGUUACUCAAAUUCAGAUGAAUCCAAACCAACACUGAAAGCUGUUUAAAAUAUGUCUGUUAACCUUAGCGCAGGUUAUCCCAUCGCGUGUCUGGCCUGGUAACUAUACAAUGGAUUUUCAUUUGCUGUGUGAUCCAGUGAUUUACAGUACGCACAGUGUGUUUGACCUUAAUACAAACAUCUGGCCUCUGUGGAUAUUAUAUCAGGUGGGUGGUGUUUUCGAUGCCCUUCAGUGUGGAUAUGUCUCUUCCUUAAUUGUUCCCUGCGUGGCCAUCUCUUUCUCUCCCUUUUUUAGAAAUGAAAAAAUACUUUUUUCCAUUCCUUCAUCCUCAUGGAAAAUUUUUCUCUGUGUGCUCCCACAUCACUUCCUCAGCGUUCGCUAUGGCGACACCACCCCCCGCCAACAGCAGCAGAUGUAGCCCCAGCACUUUUCUGGGGCUUUUGCUGAGCCGAGAAAACAGCGCUGAACCCUAUGGAGCAACAUCACCCAUCGGAAAAACCCUCAAAACAACAUACAGGACAAUGUCUGUAUUCUGUUUUUGUUUUUUUAUGGUCUCUAAGAAUUGUUUUGCAGGUUUCAGCUGAGCAUAUUGUCCUGCUGCUCGAUCUUUGCCUCAGGCCAGAUCACAGAUUGUUGAUGCAGUGUGUCCACAAUCCCACCUUUUAGAUGUUAUGGAGAAAUUCAUAAUACAACAGUGGCUCUCAGUGGGUUUUGCUUCAGGACCCAGAUGCGGAGACCAACACAGCUCCAAAAAAGCAGACAAAAAUACCCUUAAAACCAAUUGACAAGUGAUGAUUUUGGUUCCUAAAUGUGUCUUGAAUUUUAAUGGUUUCAUGCAUUUGGCAGCCAGUAAUUCACUACACAAAAGAGGUUGUGCUUGACACACACCAUGUUUAUCCUUGCU